AGCUGCCCGACAGAGACAUGUAUUGUAUACAAUGGCAGUGUCGUCGUCGUCGUCUCAUCAUCCUGGGCUUUGCCUGCAUAUCAUGCAUUCAUGGGAGAAGCAUUAGCUUGAACAAGCUAAGCUAGGAUGCAAGCAGCCAUGGCAAAAUAAUAGUAGCUUGAAAUCAAAUCAGCACCAGCCGAAGCGAAGCUGGAUGAAUCUCGGCUGACCCUUCAGUUGUUCUGUUCAGGCCUGGGCAAUUUGCAUCUUUAGAAGGUAAGCACAACAAAUGAGGAAGUGGCUCAAGAUUCUAGCAACACAUUCAAGGCGCUUCAAAAGAAAAUAAGGUUCCCAAAUAAGAAAAAGGGAAUAUUUAAAAUUCUAAACAGAUCCAAGAUUAGAAGUCUAAAUGUAGUUCCUGUUUAUUCAUAUUCAUAUAAUCAGAUUACUGUUUACUAAAAA